UACGUAGGGUGCAAGCGUUGUCCGGAAUUAUUGGGCGUAAAGAGCUUGUAGGCGGUUUGUCGCGUCUGCUGUGAAAAUCCGGGGCUCAACCCCGGACUUGCAGUGGGUACGGGCAGACUAGAGUGUGGUAGGGGAGACUGGAAUUCCUGGUGUAGCGGUGAAAUGCGCAGAUAUCAGGAGGAACACCGAUGGCGAAGGCAGGUCUCUGGGCCACUACUGACGC
rnacentral:rRNA from 1 species